CAUGAAUGAGGAUUCCAACAACAAGCCUCCAAUCCCUACGGUCUCUACACCCUGCCAGUGAGAACUACAGGGUCGGUGACAACUUCUACUGAGCCAUGAGCAAACAGACCAAGACACAAAGGUCCAGGACCCUCAAAGACUUCCAGGAGAGGACCAAGGAUGUGAGCAUUGUGUCUAUGGUCACUGGCCAGUGAGCUGAGAUUCAGAUCAAGCACUCCUCAAAGUCCAUUUUCCCUUUGGAAACGUUGGUCCUUCCAGGAAGGUGCAAGUGCCCCUUGUUCACAUGUCAAGUGUCCUUGCGAUGGGGCUGCUGAUGCUUUCAACAGCCUCCUACUUGUUGAAGACAGAGGUCGGUCUGCUGAUCUUCAAGUCCCUCAGUGCUCAGCCUCAGAAAGGGAGCACACGCAGUGCUUGUGGAUGUGAGAAGGUGACACAUGGGAGCUGAUACUCUUCCACCGUGGGGAUCCCUGCAUCUGGAGACCAAACUCAGAUCAUUACCUAGGAACAUCCACGAUGUAUCACAAAAUGCAGAUGAAGCUGUUCUGCUUAACUGCUGCUCUGAAGGUGUACAGCUGCAACCUGCACAUUGAUAAACCAAUUCACUUUCUUUUUUUAUUGAGUCUCUGUCCUUUGAAGUCUGUCUGCUUAACUUCUCUUAGGAAGCAGAACAAACUAAUCUCCAAGUUCAUUAUCUUUUUUUACCCCCUGAGACAGGGUUUCU